GCAGAAGAGGGAGUGAGAUGAUGGCUGAGCCUGGCUUCCUUCUGCUCCCCCCUCUUUUUAUAUUGUCAUAGGGAGGGGCUCAAAAGCAGCAACAAAGUGUAGAGGAGAUGGAGUCGGGUCCUGGAGAACCAUGUGUCUGACUGACGGAGAAAGAACUUGACAACUUCAUUAGCAGGAAGGAAAAGCAGAGCCUGGGGCAGAAGGAGGCUUGGCUCGCACAGGACAUCUCCAGACCCUUAACGGGUCCAAACAAUAUUGGCAGGUGAAGGCAUCCUAGGAUAAAGCUAUAGGAAGGCCCCCGCUUUGCUUUCGUGAAAAAUGCAAAUGAAAGCCACAGGAAGAUCAAAUCCACGGCUCCGUAGGAAACGUAGGAAACGGUGCUGGCUGAGCAAGCACAAGGACCUGCGUUCAAAUAUCCAGAACCUACAUUAACAGAAGGCGUUUCUGGAUGCUGGGGACGUGGAGAAUGGCCUGACCUGUUCUCAGAAGAGGAAUGACCUUGUCCAUCAGUGAGUCUCCCACACUUAGAAAUGUCCCUGAUAUGAUGUAGAGCCUGGUAUAUGUUCGUUAUUUGAUAAAAAAAAAAAUCAGAAAUGGUGCUGUGGAACGGAUAUGUCUCUGAUCGCACAGAUGCUAACGGCAACAUCAGUAUCUGAACUGGGAGCUGGCCCUAUAAUUAAUUGGCACCUAACGUGAGUGACGCU
ensembl:lincRNA Gm14319 predicted gene 14319